rnacentral:tRNA from 1 species
CCUUCGAUAGCUCAGCUGGUAGAGCGGAGGACUGUAGAUCGUUAAGUCGCUGGUUCAAUUCCGGCUCGAAGGA